rnacentral:lncRNA from 1 species
UGGUGAAUUAAACCGUGGGUAAAGAUUUUUUUUUUUUGAGAGAAGGUAGCAUGUUACCGCUUCAUUCAUUUAGAGAGUGAACUCAGCUACAGGAUGAGACUGUUAAGAAUAUGCCUUCUUUUGAACCUGGGUUGAGUCAAAUUAAUUAACCCAUUAAGUUGGUUCAUAAAAUAUAUCAAUUGGUUUUGAAAUUGAUUCUCAUUGGCGAAAGAUACGUGCUUAUCUGUAUA